rnacentral:rRNA from 1 species
UACGAAGGGGGCUAGCGUUGCUCGGAAUGACUGGGCGUAAAGAGCUCGUAGGCGGUUUGUCGCGUCUGCUGUGAAAACCUAAGGCUCAACCUUGGGCUUGCAGUGGAUACGGGCAGGCUAGAGUGUGGUAGGGGAGAUCGGAAUUCCUGGUGUAGCGGUGAAAUGCGCAGAUAUCAGGAGGAACACCGGUGGCGAAGGCGGAUCUCUGGGCCAUUACUGACGCUGAGGAGCGAAAGCGUGGGGAGCGAACAGG